rnacentral:rRNA from 1 species
ACUGGCGGCAUGCUUUACACAUGCAAGUCGAACGGCAGCACGGGUGCUUGCACCUGGUGGCGAGUGGCGGACGGGUGAGUAAUACAUCGGAACGUAUCCAGAAGAGGGGGAUAACGCAUCGAAAGAUGUGCUAAUACCGCAUAUUCUCUGAGGAGGAAAGCAGGGGAUCGAAAGACCUUGCGCUUUGGGAGCGGCCGAUGUCUGAUUAGCUAGUUGGUGGGGUAAAGGCCUACCAAGGCGACGAUCAGUAGUUGGUCUGAGAGGACGACCAGCCACACUGGGACUGAGACACGGCCCCAGACUCCUACGGGAGGCAGCAGUGGGGAAUUUUGGUACAAUGGGCGCAAGCCUGAUCCAGCAAUGCCGCGUGAGUGAAGAAGGCCUUCGGGUUGUAAAGCUCUUUCAGUCGAGAAGAAAAAGCUGCAGUGAAUAACUGUAGUUCAUGACGGUAUCGACAGAAGAAGCACCGGCUAACUACGUG